rnacentral:lncRNA from 1 species
CAGGUUCAUAGGAAGUGAAGAUGGUUUCCUAUCUGCUGAUACUCUCUGGAAAACUCAAACCACUUUAUUAUUAAUUUUUCCAAGGCAGCUAUACAUAUACUUGCUUGUGAUCCUGUACUUAAGCCUAGUCUUUGGUAAGCAGGUAUGCAAAGAUGACUAAAGUAAGUGGCAAAUACAGCAGGUGAGAAAGCUAGAACAAGAGCAGUGUGGACUAGCAGAGAAUCCAGGAAGAACUAAAGCUUACAUGGAUGUCCAUAGUGAAAAGCCACAGGAGAUGGCCACCUGAACCCAAUGCAUCUCUUAUAAUUAAUUUCAAAUAAGAAUGUUAGAAAACACAUUUCUGUUCUCUGGAACAAUGCUAUAUUGGACGAAGCUAGCCAACAAAUCUGUUAAUAAUUAUAAAAUACCUGAAGCACUUUUUAUUUGCAAUAAAACAUAUACAAAUGCUUUGUAUUAUUUUAACCAAUAAAAAGGAAAGAAUUUAAAUAGAUUUUUAUGUACCCUGAUAUUUAAACCUACUCACACUGCUAAUUUGGACCUCAAAUUUUGACUUGAAACUCAGUCUUCAUUUUUUCUUUUUUGACCUCUAUGUAACUUCCUCUUUGGUCUACAUCUCUCCUGGUUUAUGAGGCAGAGUUUCAGACAGAUGACCUGAGCUGGCAGAUCUGCUUAAUGUGGUCCUGUAAGGUGUUUAAAUGCUCAGUGAAAGGUUGAAGAAUCUUCCAGAAAGAAGAAAGGAGCCUCAGAGACAGAGACCUGUCUCCCCAGAGGAGAUGGAGACAGAGUGGAGCCUGACUGCCUGGAGUCGUUCUGCUGGGAGAAAGCCUGGUUGCUGUGGCACAUGCGUGGCAGGCUGGAAAUGAUACCCUGUGUAGGCCUAACUCUACCAAGAGGAGCAAAAACUGGACACUGUGUAACUUCACAGAAUUAGCAACACGGACCCGUUACACAUGGGCAAUGCUAAGCCAAUGGGAGGAGUGGAAAGAUCAUCUGAGGAAAAUAGCUGUGCUGGUUGGGGUAGUGGCUGGCUGGUUCAAGGCUGUGCUGCCUUGAAAACAAUAAAGGUUUCACUUGAACAAAUGGUAAAUUUUCCUGUCCUUGAAAUGUUUUUUAUGCCACUUUUAAUCACUAAGUGGUGUCAGAAAACAUCAUUCAUUUU